UCCUGGAUAAAGGACCAGCCAUCACUCCAGUACUCAAGGGCCUAAUUCUGAGUUUUUAAGGAUGGGGAAUGGCAUCAUUUCAUUUAAGCUCCUCUUAUUUGAGGUUUUUGUGUUAUGUAGCUAAACCUAUUCAGGGAGAGAGAGCUUCCCAUGGGCAGUGAGGUGCCCCUGGAGGGUGCCAGGGGGCUGGGGGCUGCAGCUCGGAGGAGAGAUUGGAGGUAGCAACUAUAGUCCAGUGAGGGGCUCUGCAAUGCCCAGGCCCGAGGUGAUGGGGUCUUAGCUGAUGUGAUUGUGCGAGCAUCUUCUCCUGCCCCUGAGCCAGAAUUGUCCGGUACCAAGACCAGCUAGACUGUAGAGACCCCCACCCAGGCAGCACUGAAGGCGUUAAGAAGCAGACACUCAGAACAGCAAAGUGGGACUAUCAGGGCCAACAGCCUGCUGAGCUGACAGCUUCAGGGGCUGACACAUUACGGGCUGAGAGCCUCAAGCAGAUUCUGACCCACAUAGUCUCUCUGAACAGGUGAUUAUUAUUAACUAACAGGUGUUCUGUGUUUUCUCAUAGAACCAAGAUAAACUAGGUAGGCAGCUGGCGCCCCCUUAUCACUGAUCACGGACAGACUAGAAAGCAUUCUCCAUGAGGGAGCCACGGGGGCAGGUCACAUAUCCAGUGCUGAAAGAAUUGUUUUCACCAGUGUAUGAUGUACAUAUACUGUCUUGCUACUUCAGAAUGCCCCAAGCUGUUUUCCACUUAGUCAGGGAGCCAGGUUUUCCUUGCCAUCGUUCUUCUUAGCAAACAAGAUAAUUUUAUCAUACACUCAGCAUUUCUCAGCAGUCCAGCAUGCAGUGCAGUGGAGACUAUGCAAAUGAGAUGGGACCAGGAUUUAUCAAGGAAUCACGUAACCCUGAUGGCAUCCUAAGCCAUUAGGUGGUACCUCCAGGUAAAGCAAAGGGGAGGUGCUCUUGUCACCAAUUUCCCAGAGGGACAGAGACCAGCUGAGUUUCAGGGAGAAUAGGAAGGGUUAGAGAGACCCAAGGAGGCUGCAGAAAACCUCCCAGGAGUCCCCAGGCUGGAAGCUCCAGGGAGUGUUAGGGAUGACUCCAGGCUUCAGGGCGGCGAGUUGCACCCCCGAGGAAGGAUUCGCUUCUACAUUCAUUCCUUGAUUCAGGCCCCAGACCUGAAGAACAAAGGUCUCCUUGCUAGCCCUUGUGGCAAGUGGCUGGAUGAGAACAUCAGCUUAUGUUUUCUCUGCUCCCUAAGGUUUGACCCGGGGCUUAGAAAGAGCUGGUCCCAGACAAUUACUUAGAAAUGCUGAGACCUGCUGGGCACGGUGGCUCACGCCUGUAAUCCCAGCACUUUGGGAGGCCGAGGCAGGUGAAUCACGGGGUCAAGUGAUCAAGACCAUCCUGGUCAACAUGGUGAAACCCCAUCACUACUAAAAAUACAAAAAAUUAGCUGGGCAUGGUGGCGUGUGCCUGUAAUCCCAGCUACUCAGGAGGCUGAGGCAGGAGAAUUGCCUGAACCCAGGAGGCAGAGAUUGCGGUGAGCCGAGAUGGCGCCAUUGCCCUCCAGCCUGGGUAUCAAGAGUGAAACUCCGUCAAAAAAACAAAGAAAUGCUGAGACCUGCAGAAUCCAGGGCCCAGGGUCACUCCUUUUUCUCCUUAUCCUACAGAUGAGGAAACUGAGGUGCAAAGUGCCCCGUAAAGCUAUAGUGGUGCCAGGACAGCACCUGCUCCCAAUCCCUGCCCAAUGCUCCUGGCAUGCUGCAGGCUGUGACCUGGACUUCCUGGAGGCUGUCUGUACACACAGAGAAUGAUUGGGAGAAAGCAAGACUCAGAAUCGGAUGAGACAUAGAUCACCACCUGCGGAAGCCUGGCCUGCAGACCCUGACUCGCGAUGGGUGAAUGAAGCCACCCCAAGUGGAUAUCAACAGUUGGAAUGAGGUGAUACCUGGGCAGAUUGAAUGAAACUGAUGAAACUGAGCACCUGAAUCCUGCUGCAUCCUCCUCUCAGAGGCAGCCCCUCCUCCUGUGUGUGCAGAGGUCUGUCUCCCGUCACCUGGGAGCCUGUGAUGACCUCUCCUGAGCUGGCUGAUCCCGGCCACCUCUCAUUUCUUCUACACCUAUCACUAGACUCACAUCCAGUUGGCUCCAGGGGGCUGGAUAGGACGAAUGACCAGGAGGAAGUAUACACAGGAGCAGCUUGGAUGUACUGCACGUUUGGUCCCAGACCAUCACAGUGAAGACAGAGUCACAGUAAAGCAAGUCACACAAAUGUGUUGGCUUCUCAGCACAGAACUGGGAAAUGGUGCCCAGAUCCAUUAGGGGCAUCACUCCCUAUGGCAGCUGGAGCCUUAGGAAAUGUAUUUCUUAAAUAAUAAGACGUGAAAGUCAAAACCACUCCUUGAUCCAAGGGCUGCAGAAUGGAUGAAGUGUUAGGAGGCGUGAAAACAACAUUCUUAGACGUCCCCAUCAGGGUUCUUGGGUGAGGUAUGCAGAGUCAGUCAACAGUAACAUUUUCAAAGGAAUCUUUUUCAGAGCUGUAGGUCUCAAUAGUGGGCUUCAAAUAAUGUAGCAAGCCAUCUGUAAACAGACGUGCUGUCACCAGACUUAGUUCCAUGUAUAGAGUACAGGCAGAGUGGAUAUAGCACCAUUUUUUUUUUUUUUUAAGAUGGAAUCUUGUUCUGUCACCCAGGCUGGAGUGCAAUGGCAUGAUCUUGGUCACUGCAACCUCUGCCUCUCAGGUUCAAGCAAUAAUCCUGCCUCAGCCUCCCAAAUAGUGAGAUUACAGCUGCCCACCACGAUGACCAGCUAAUUUUUGUAUUUUUAGCAGAGAAGGGGUUUCACUGUGUUGGCCAGGCCGGUUUCGAACUCCUGACCUCAGGUGAUCCACCUGCCUUGGCCUCCCAAAAUGCUGGGAUUGCAGGCAUGAGCCACCACUCCCGGCUGGUAUAGCAUCAUUCUUAAGGGUCCUAGAAUUUUCAAGAUUUUCAGAAUCACACAUUAACAUUGGCCUCAGCUUAAAGUCAACCAGCUUCACUAGCCCCUCACAAGAGAGUCCAUCUGUCCUCUGCAGCUUCAAAGCUAGGCCCUGACUUCUCUAGCUACACACUAGAUGGCAUUUUCUUCCAGUAGAAGGCUAUUUUACUUACACUGGAGAUCUGUUGUUUAGUGUAGCCACCUGCAUCGAUGAUCUCAGCGUGGUCUUCUGGAGAACUUGCUGUAGCUUCUCCAUCAGCAUUUGCUGUUUCACCUUGCACUGUGUUAUGGAGAUGGCCUCUUUCUUUCCUAUGUUGUGGCUUGUGCCACUUGGAUCACUCAGACCACAUCAGCAAGAAGGCUGUUUUUUGUUUUUUUUUUUUUGAGAUGAGUCUCGCUAUGUCAUCCAGGCUGGAGGGCAGUGCUGAGAUCUCAGCUUACUGCAGCCUCUGCCUCCCAGGUUCUAGUGAUUGUCUUGCCUCAGACUUCUAAGUAGCUGGGAUUAUAGGCGUGUGCCACCAUGCCCAGCUAAUCCCAAAGUGCUCGGAUUACAGGUGUGAGCCAUCGCACCUGGCCACAAGGUCUAAUUUCUGCAAUAAGUCCCCAUAGCAUCCAUGCUUGAAGGAAAUUAAAAGUGCUACUCUAGGCUAGGCACAGUGGCUCACGCCUGUAAUCCCAGCACUUUGGAAGGCCGGGGUAGGCAGAUUACCUGAGGUCAGGAGUUCGAGACCAGCCUGGCCAACAUGGUGAAACUCCAGCUCUACUAAAAAUACAAAAAUUAGCUGGGCAUGGUGGCAUGUGCCUGUAAUCCCAGCUACCCAGAAGGCUGAGGCAGGAGAAUUGCUGGAACCUGGGAGGCGGAGGCUGCAGCGAGUUGAAAUUGAGCCACUGCAUUCCAGCCUGGGCCACAGAGUAAGACUUUUUCUUUUCAUUCACAACCUGGCUAACUGGCCCAAGAGGCCUAGCUUUCGGCCUCUCUCAGCCUUCCUCACCAAGCUUUGCUGUUUCUAGCUUUUGGUUUAAAGAGAGGGAUGUGGACUCUUCCUUUCUUUCUUUUUUUUUUUUUUUUUUUGAGACGGAGUUUCACGCUUGUUACCCAGGCUGGAGUGCAAUGGCGCGAUCUCGGCUCACCGCAACCUCCGCCUUCUGGGUUCAGGCAAUUCUCCUGCCUCAGCCUCCUGAGUAGCUGGGAUUACAGGCACGCGCCACCAUGCCCAGCUAAUUUUUUUAUAUAUUUUUUAGUAGAGACGGGGUUUCACCAUGUUGACCAGGAUGGUCUCGAUCUCCUGACCUUGUGAUCCACCCGCCUCGGCCUCCCAAAGUGCUGGGAUUACAGGCUUGAGCCACCGCGCCCGGCCGACUCUUCCUUUCAUUUAACACAUAAAGGCCACUGUAAGGUUAUAAUUGGCCUAUUUGUAAUAUUAUUGUGUCCCAGGGAAUAGAGAGGCGUGAAGAGAGGAAAAGAGACGAGGGCAAGCCUGGCAGGUGGGACCCUGAGAACACACCUGACCAUGCUCCGUUAAGUUUGACAUCUUUUGUGGGUGUGGUUUGUGGUGCCCCCAAACAAUGACAAUAGCAACGUUAGGGAUCACCAAAGGCAUAGUCACCACACUAGGCAAGGAACCCAGUCGCAGUGCUUGCUUUGGGCAGAGGAAAUACGGGACGAAUUCUGGAGGGGAAGCAGGGGAGUCUCUACACACCAGCCAUAGCCAUGUGAGCAGUGGUGGAAGGGAAGGGGGCAAUUAGGAGCACUGAUUCCUAUGCUGUUGUUACUAACAUUUUCAACCAUAUUAACCAAUUUUUUUUUUUUUUUUUUUUUUUGAGAUGGAGUUUUGCUCUUGUUGCCCAGGCUGGAGUGCAAUGGCGAAAUCUCAGCUCACUACAACCUCGGCCUCCCAGGUUCAGAAUUUCACCCUGUCACCCAGGCUGGAGUUCUGUGGUGCGGAUCUUGGCUCACGGCAACCUCUGCCUCCUGGGUUCAAGCGAUUCUCCUGACCCUGUCAGGGGGAAGCAAGAGGAGACCCUGCUGGCAUCACCAGUGAAUCUGGGUCAAGCCAUACCUGAAGCCAGUCAAGCCAGUGCCCUCUGCAUUUUAGGAGCUAGUAAGUUGCACUUUUUCCUGAAGUCUGUCUGAGCUGGGUGUUGACCUGGCCAGUAACACACAUCACACUGCAUUCUUGCAUCCACUCAGCGAGGUGCCGCUUGAUCUCUAGUUUACCAAUGUGGGCAGUGAAGGUCCAAGAGGAGAGCGUCAUGUCUGCUCCCUCCUGUCUCUGUGACCCUCACAUAUGACGUAGGGCCUAGGGCAUGAGCAGGGCUAUCACUGUCUUGAGGCCUGUGGCCCUCACCACUGACCACCUGUGUUGUGAGAAGUAGAAAAUUUCCUCUUCAAAGUUUCCUCUCUUUUUUUUUUUGAGACAGAGUUUCGCUCUUGUUACCCAGGCUGGAGUGCUGUGGUGCAAUCUCGGCUCACCAUAACCUCCGCCUCCUGGGCUCAGGCAAUUCUCCUGCCUCAGCCUCCCAAGUAGCUGGGACUACAGGCCCGCACCACCAUGCCCAGCUAAUUUUUGUAUUUUUAGUAGAGACGGGGUUUCACCAUGUUGACCAGGAUGGUCUCGAUCUCUUGACCUUGUGAUCCACCUGCCUCGGCCUCCCAAAGUGCUGGGAUUAUAGGCGUGAGCCACUGUGCCUGGCCACAAAAUUUCCUCUCUUAAGAAAAAUUCAUAAGUGUUAAAAAUCAUAGUUCAUUUUAAAUACUUUCUUCAGAAGGCUUCUUGCUUUUGCUAGAAGCUCUAUCCUGUUUAGCUGUUAGACACGCCAUGCUUACAGGCAUACAGUACACUCUAUGUCCUUGUACUUUAACCAAGAUAUCCCUGCUGGGCGUGCUCACAGGAAUGUCCCAGCUCGCCACUGCUUUUACCUGUUUAGAAAAGUUUCAAGUUCUUACCAAUUAGGUUUUUGUGAGGUCUGGCUCCAGCCAAUGGAAAUCAGACACAGCAGUAAGGAUGACCCCAAAUGCAUAAGGAAUAAAUUUGUGUGUUUUCCUUUGUUCGUUGUACUCUCAUGGCAAGAUGGCUAGCAGGGUACCCUUCCUGCAGCCCAGGAAGUAAAAAUUGUGUUGCUGAAAUGUUUGUCCCAGUGCUGAUUUUUCUUUGUGGCACUGAGAAUCUAUUUCUAAUAUCUGUGCUUCUCCUUUCUCUAAGAAGCCCCUUGGUGGGAGAAGCCAUCCUUGCUCUGGGGCAGAUGCCUGCAGAUACCUCAGCCUUGGUUGCUCUUAAUUCCAGCAAGACAGGACUCCCACUCGGAAGUUUUCUUUACUGUGAGUGGGACUUUGGAUAAUUUCACAGAGAACUCCAAACUCUCACGCCUCUGUGUGACCUUGAUCAAGUUCAUUGACCUCUCUGUGUUUCACUUUUCCCAUCCAUAAAAUGAAGUGGGUGGAUCAGACCAGCACUAUAAUAGAAAUGGAAUUUGAGCCACAUACAGAAUUUGAAGUUUCCUAGAAGCCAUAUUUAGAAAAGAAAUAGGUAAAAUAUUUUAGUAAUACAUUUUAUUUAACUCAAUAUAUCCACAAUAUUGAUAUAACAUGGACUCUAGGUAAGUUACUAAUGAGACAUUUUGCAAUUUUUUUUUUGACAUAGAGUUUCACUCUUGUUGCCCAGGCUGGAGUGUGAUAGCGUGAUCUUGGCUCACUAUAACCUCCGCCUCCUGGGUUCAUGCAAUUCUCCUGCCUCAGCCUCCUGAGUAGCUGGGAUUACAGGCAUCGACCACUACACCCAGCUAAUUUUUGCAUUAUUAGUAGAGACGAGGUUUCAUCAUGUUGGCCAGACUGGUCUUGAACUCCUGACCUCAGGUGAUCCACAUGCCUUGGCCUCCCAAAGCAUUGGGAUUACAGGUGUGAGCCACUGAACCAGGCCCAUUUUGUAAUUUUUUGUUGUACUGAGCCUUCAAAGUCUGAUUGUGUAUUUUACACCUGAAGCAUAUCUCAGUUUGGACCAGUCACAUUUCCAGGGCCACGAUAACCACGUAUGUUUAGUGGCUGCUACUGUUGCGGCUAGUGCCAGAAUAGACAGACGGUUUCACACUUUUUAAUUCUGUUUUAAGCAACAGGACUAUUCUUUGAAUUGUGACUUUGUUCAGAGUCCCGUCAUGCAAAUGGACAGAAAAGGGCUUCUCUGAGUGGCCAGGGUCUUGUUCAGCCUCUUCCUCUCUCCUGUCCCCAACACUGGUCCCCAGCAGCCUGAGUGUCCUCACCCUAUGCAGGGCUCCCAGGAACACUGUUUGGAAAUCACUGUUCUCAGCGACCUGCAAGGGCCCUGACUGUUUAAACGUAGAGAAAUGUAGAUACAGAGAAAGGUGGGGAUUUUUCUCUCCCAAACUCCACUUUGGUUGAGCAAGAAAACUCUGGAAAUCUAUUUGUAUGCAUUCAUUCAUUGAAUGAGUCAGCCUGGGAUAGGCUACGCCGCAUUAACAAAUGAGUCUGUAACUCUCAGUGGCUUAAUGCCCUGUUGCUUUCUUUCUCAUGAAGGGCUUAACACAAGUGGGAAGCUCUCCGGGGUGGUAUCCUCCAUACGGUGACUCAGGGACCCAGCCAGACCACUUUCAUGUUUUCCAGUGAGGAGGAGGAGGAGAGAGCUGGCCAUGGCCUGGUUGUGCAUACCACCCUAUCCCAUUGGGCAGAGCUCAGAAACUUACCUUAGUGCAAGGGGCGCUGUGGGUUGGAGUAUUCCUGGGACUGGGAAGAGGAGGGACGCUUCCAGCGAGGGGCCCUGCCCGCCCCAGGGCCUUUGCCCAUUCUCUCUCCUCUGCUUGGAAUGCUCUUCCUUUCCCUUUUCUGCAGAUUAAGUUCUGCUUAUCUCUGGCUAGAUGCGGUGGUUCACACCUGUAAUCCCAGCACUUUGGGAGGCUGAGGUGGGUGGAUCACCUGAGGCCAGGUGUUUGAAACCAGCCUGGCCAACAUGAUGAAACCCCAUCUCUACUAAAAACACAAAAUUUGGUUGGGCAUGGUGGCUGAAGCCUGUAAUCCCAGCUCCUCAGGAGGCUGAGGCAGGAGAAUCACUUGAACCCAGGAGGCAGAGGUUGCAUUAAGCCCAGAUCGUGCCAUUGCACUCCGGCCUGGGUGACAAGGCGAGACUCGGUCUCAAAAAAAAAAAAAAAAAAAAAAAAAAUUCUGCUUAUCCUAGGUCAAAUGUCACUUCCUCAGGGAGGGUAGGGGCCCGGGGGCCAGGCAGAGCUGGGUCCUGCAGGCACAGUCACCCACCACACAUGGCAGGCUCACUUGGGCAAGGAAACUGAAGGGUUGCCCUCGGGAGGUACAAGGACGUGAUUUGCAUUUGAAAACAAUCUCCUGGACCGGAUGGAGAGCUGAUAAUGAUACUUCUAUUUUUAAGAAAGGCCAACUCUCUCAGUGCCCCAAGGGAAGUGCAACUCUGCGUGAUGUCAGCUUUGAUGAACAAUCUUGUCUCCACCGAAAUGUUGUACGGAUGCCCCAGGACAAGGCUGAUACAUUAUUCAGCCUCACAGCUGUCUGGGCGGAGGGACCCCGGCUGUUUCCUCAUGAGCUGCCUUUGCUAGGCCAGGGCCCGAAGAGGAGCCCGGGGAGGCCAGUGCUGACAGGGAGCAGAGACUGAGGCAGCCUUGAGUCUUCUCGGCUUUUUAGCCAAGGGCCUGAGCCCCGUCACUUCUUUUGUGUUCAUGGACCUUAAUGAAUACUGACGGCGGGUGGCCCAGGCCCUGAGCCACAGACGGGAGUCAGAAACAAUCCAGAGCUAUCUCAGUGUGAGGUGGGGACUGGUGUGCAGACAGCUCAAUAGCAGCAGGUAGACAGAGCAACAAGGGGGCAUGGGAGCCCAGGUCAGGAAUGACAGCCAGGUGGGGAAUGCAAGAAAGGGCAUGUCCAAGCUGGGUUCUAAAGGAUGAGUAGGAGUUCGCCAGGUGGAGGAGGUUACUGAAAGACAUCCCUGGCAGGGACCAGCAGGGGCCAAGCUCUGGAGGGUUGCAAGGGCACAGGGCAUGGGCAUGAGCGGGACAGGAUGUGGGAUGGCAAAGCUAAGCAGGGGCUGGAUCCUGGAGAGCUUUGAACGUCCACGUGCCUGAAGGUGACCCAGACUGAGCUUGAGUUGAAAAAGACAGGCUGGCUGCCAUGGCUCAUGCCUGUAUUCCCAGCACUUUGGGAGGCUGAGGUGGGUGGAUCACCUGCAGUCAGGAGUUUGAGACCAGCCUUGACAAUCUGGUGAAACCCCGUCUCUACCAAAAAUGCAAAAAUUAGCCAGGUGUGGUGUUAGACACCUGUAAUCCCAGCUACUUGGGAGGCUGAGGCAGGAGAAUCAUUUGAACCCGGGAGGUGGAGUUUGCAGUGAGCUGAGAUUGCGACACUGCACUCUAGCCUGGGUGACAGAGCGACCCUCUGUCUCAAUAAAAAAAGAAAAAGACAUGGCCUGCCCUCAGGGAACUCCCUAAUAGGAGAGGUCUGAGUGACCUGCAUACCCUGAAAAUUAGGUGGUAUCACCCCUGUUUACAGAAGAGGAUCUCAACACUCAGAGAGGUCAGGGAAUUUACCCAAGAUCACACAGUGCGAAAGGCAGCCCAGAGGUGACCCCUAGCUACUGAUCACCACCCUGGGCUUCUCUUCUCAGUCAUCAGAUGGGGGCGCAAGAGCCACUGACUUGCGGAGACGUGGAGAGGUAGGUGGAUCUGUGUAACCAGCGCCUAGCACAGGCUGUGCCCUUGAAAUCCUCCCUGGCCUCUUCAGCCCGACAAAUCCAGGCUCCUGGGGGCAUUUUCUCAGGAAUGUCUCCCAGGCCAAGUCCCCCUCUAGUGUCACCCUUACUAGCCCCAGAGAGGGUGGAGUUGGGGGGAGCAGUGAGACUUCAACCUGGGCUAAGGAUGAGGCUGGUUCAGCCCCAGUAAUGAUGGCAAGCAUCAGUGGAGCCCGUGAGCUGGCGGGGGAGUGGGGGGGUCGCCUUAUUACAUCAAACCUCAGAUUAGGUAAAUCCUAUCAGUCCUAUUUCACAGGUUAGGGGAAACAGACUCAGAGCCCCACCCAAGGUCACACGGCUGGUAAAGGGGGAGCUGGCACCCAAACCGCAGGUCCUGAAGCCAAAUCCCAUGCUCUUCCCUUCAUACUCCCAACCCAGAGGGAGCAUUCUUGCAUUCACAACACAGAGGUAAGAGGGUGUCCCGGGUGAGAGCAGGGACCUGGAGUCACGCUGCCACUGACUCCUCCAGGCUCUGUUUCUCAGCUGUGUAGCCUUGGACAAGUUACUUAACCUCUCUGUGCAAACUAAGGUGUCAGGAGGUUUUCAGGCAGGCAGGCUGGGUGGGGUGUGGGGACAGUGGAGCGGGUGGGUAGGCAGUGCAGGGCUGAGGCUCACUGAGGCAGGGAUGAGUAGUGACAGCUGAUCUGUGUGGUGCUGCCUCAGGAGUGGGGCUGGCUGUGGGGUCAGGCCAGGCUGAGGCAGGAGUGGAGUGUGACCUCCGUGGAUCCACUGAGCUACUCUCAAAUUGAGAGCCAUGCUGUCCCCAAGGUGCACCCUCAGCCCAGCCCAGGCCAGCUCUGGAAUCUGGAUAGUUGUGUAGUUAAUGUGCUGCGGGUAAGUGUGGCCUCACCCUCUGGAUGAGGCAGGGGGAAGAGACCCCUGCAUGCAUAGUGGCUGGCAGAGUGAAACAUGCUGGUCCUCUCUGUAAGGGAAUCUGCCGAUUUCUGCUGCAACUACCUGGUGUGCAAUGCAGUUUGACCCACCAGCUCCACUAGCAGGAAUGUGUCCUGUAAAUACCCCUGCCCCCCACCCCACAGACGAGAGCCUCCAGGCAAGGAAAUGUACAAAGCAUGACUUACAGUAACAAAAAAAUAGAAACAGCCCUUGAGUCGAUCAAUAGCGGGCUGACUGGAUAAAGUGUGGAGCACAAAAAAAUGUGGGAGCUUGCCAUUUGUCAGUAAAACUAUGCCCCUGAGCGAACACAGCCAGAGCUGACUGUACGUGGGUCUCUAGUGUGCUACACUCUGUGUAAGAAGGUGGAUUUGCUAUAUUUGCAUAAAGAAGCACUUUUGGAAGAUGUACAGAGAAAUGAAUCAGGGGCAGGGGCAGAGUGCGGGAGCCCGCCUAGUGUUAUAACAUGGAAGUUAAUUCAUGUUUGGAAUGGAGUUAUAUGUAUUGUUUAUUUGAAAGCUCAAAAGAGUAAAAUAAGAACAUUCAUUUAAAGGUUCCCCUUAAGAAAAGCACCUGAUUUUCACCACGUUCUGUUUUUGCUAUGAGCCAUGCUUUCAGCCCCGCGUGCCUUGGUGAUGCUUCUGGGCCAUGGGGAAUGUGAGCUGCGAAGUGGAGGCUCAUGGGGAUCCAUGUGGGCAGAGGCAGAGUCUGAGCAGGCGGGAUGGCUGCUCCCAGGCCAGGCAAUGCUGCUGGAGACUGGAGCGAGGGACGCUGAUGUGCAGGACUCCACAGCCUCCCUUUUAAACUGCACAGCAGUGCCUUGAAGGAGGCUCUGCGAUGCCCAUUUCACAGAUGAGUAAACUGAGGCUCCUAAAGGUGAAGCGACUUGCCCAAGGUCACUUGGCUGGGAGGCAGCAGGGUGAUGACUGGAACCCUGAUCAGUGUUCCUCUGCAGCCUGUGCUGCUGGCCAGGGAGCUGGGACCCAGGAGCCCAGCGGUCACACACAGGGCAGGGGGAAGGGGUGGCUCAGAGCAGCCGAGCACAGCCUCCCACUUCAUGCCCACGUGGGUUCUGCCCUGGUCUGUUCAGGCUCAAAGCAGGAGCCAACCUUAGAGGCUCUGAUGCAUCUGGCUGGGGAAAGGCUGAGCCUGAGAAGGUUCUGGAGGCAGAGCCAGCAUGGAGGCAUGUCACUGUGGGCAGAACUGAAAUGAACAGGUGCAGGGCACAGGCACAGGAGCCCAGUGUGGAGGGGAGGUUGAGGCUUCUCCUGGCCAGGUGCCAAGGAGAGGUGAGGGGCUGGCACUGAUGUCCCUUCCCAGGGCCCAAUGUCGAGGAGAGGCAGAGCACAGCCUCCUGGACCCCAUCUCCCUGUCCACACUGAGAACAACUGGUCCCUUGCUGGUCAAUCAUUAUUUUGUUUCCUUUUUUUUUUUUUUUUUUUUUUGAGAGUGAGUAAUGCUUUGUCGCCCAGGCUGGAGUGCAGUGGCACGAUCUCAGCUCACUCCUGGGUUCUCCUGCCUCAGCCUCCCAAGUAUCUGGGAUUACAGGUGCAUGCCACCACACCCGGUUGAUUUUUGUAUUUUUAGCGCAGAUGGGGUUUUACCAUGUUGGUCAGACUGGUCUUUAACUUCUGACCUCAGGUGAUCUGCCUGCCUUGGCCUCCCAAAGUGCUGGGAUUACAGGCGUGAGCCACUGCACCCGGCGGCCAACAUUCUUAAGGUCUGUCAGGAGUGCAUCAGCCUGUGUCUCUCCAGCAUGUCCCUCAUGUGGUCCCCUUCUGUCUCCCCAGCAGGGCCCCAGUGAUGGGAGUUCAUCCUUUCUACAAAGCGAAGCACUUGAACCUCUGUGUGUAUUCUUUGUCACCAAGGAUUUGAGGCUAACAACGUGCUCUUGUUUCUGGCCUAGAUUUGUGAAAUUUCCCCUGAGGCUGCUACUCUGAUGGUUGGCAUUUCUGGGCUGACUGCAGGAGGCCAUCCUGGUGAGGCUCUUAGCUCUGGCUGGUGAAGCCACUGCCCGGGACACCCAGAAUCCUGGCUUCUCCAAGUACAGCAGCCCGCAUGGGUACGAGUGCACUGUCUGUGAGCACUGACUGUGUCCCAAGUCCUGGGCAGACCUUGGGUGGGGACAUAAGCAGCCCUGUGGCUCUCGUAACUCCUGUGCCCCCAGGCUCCCGGGAAACCCCACAUCCUCAGCUUAAAAUAUGCUAGAAAAACUCCCCGGGAUCCUGGUGUCAACACCACCCUCUCUUCUUUACCAUCACUUCUUUCCCUGCUUCUUAGUCAAUGUUUCCAUUCUGCGCUCUAUUCACCAAUACUUGUUCUGAUGCUGGAAUUGUGAGGCCUCUCUUCUUGAUCAGGCCAACUCCUACUCAUCCUUCAAAACCCAGAAAUGCCCCCUUCUUUGUGAACCUUUCCCAGUUCCCCCAAGCAGGCACUCCCUCACUCCUGGUGCUGCCAAAACACCCACCAACCCACCCACCUGUCCCUCAAAUACUUGUGUCUGCUCUGGGCCAUAAUCUAAGGAGGCUAAGCAAAGUUAAGCCUAGCCCCUGGCCUUGAUCCCUUGCAGACCUCAAGCCCUAGGACUUUUGACUGACUUUCCUCAACCUUUGUUGGCCUUGCUGGUGGAGGAGGCAGAGGUGAUGACAGUUGAUCACACAGGAUGGACAGAGGGAAGAAGGGCAAGGGCUGCGAGCCCAGAGGCAGUGCCCACCGGCAUGGUCGACUCAGGAGGGGACAUCUGAGAGGAAUCUAGUUAGAUCUGAAGGCGGACAGCAGGCAAGGGGUGAGAGAAAGGACUUCAGGCAGGGAGAGAGGCCAGCCCAAGCCAGGCCAGGACAGGUGCUGAGGACAGUCCAGGGAGUUGAGUCAAGUUGGGCCAAGGGUGCUGGUUCCAUGAGGCUGGAGGAAUCAGCAGGGCCAGGCCUGGGCCAGCCUGGGGUCAUGCUGCAGGGUUGGAGGCAGCUCUGACAGCUGGACCUGGUAGGGCCAGGACCUGCCUGGGGGUUGAUGCUAACCCUACACCCAGGCCCUCCUUGUGGGCCAGUUCAGGUUAGAAAUGAUGGGCCGGGCGCAGUGGCUCACGCCUGAAAUCCCAGCACUUUGGGAGGCUGAGGCAGGUGGAUCAUCUGAGGUCAGGAGCUUGAGAUCAGCCUGGCCAACACGAUGAAACUCCAUCUCUACUAAAAAUACAAAAAUUAGCUGGGUGUGGUGAUAUGCACCUGUAAUCCCAGCUACUCAGGAGGCUGAGGCAGGAGAAUCACUGGAACCCAGGAGGCGGAGGUUGCAAUCAACUGAGAUCGCACCAUUGCACUCCAGCCUGGGCGACAGAGCGAAACUGCGUCUCAAAACAUAAAAUAAAAAUAAAAAUAAAUAAAUAAAAGAAAUGAGCACGCCGAGACCCAUUUCUAGGCAGCCUACCCAUUUCAUUCCCUCUCUGGGAACAGCAUGGGGUUUUCUGGACCUGGCCCUCUCCCUCCGAUGAGCGUCUCCUCUCGGGUCCACAGAGUGCUCUGCUCUGCCACCCUGCCCUGGGUUGCCCACUGUGAGGCUGUCACUCAACUCCCCUCUGCCAGCCCAGGGAGCUCCCCUGCUGGCAUUGCCUCAGCCUCACCCCAGCAAAGGCCCCAGGCCUGAGGAUGACCCUGACAGAGAGAAAGGAGGAAACGCAAGGCAGCACAGCCCACAGAAGCCUCCAGAAGGGCUGUUUGAAGCAGGGGAGAGGGCAGUGGAGAAAACAGGGGCAUUGCUCUCAGAUGAGGGCGUGCUCCAGCCUUGCCUGAACCAUCUCAGAGCACUGGUUGAGUGUCUGGGCUCAAAGAUCAGGCGUCCUGGGACUUGAAGUCUGGUUCUGCCACUUCCUGGCUGUGUGACCCUGAGAAAGUGACUUAACCUCUCUGAGUGUCUGCUGCUGCAUUUGCAAUGUAGGGACAGUGGUCCUGCCCACCUCAUGGGGUGACUUGCAUCAGACACACCCACAAUGAUGUCUGCACGUAGUGAGUGGUCCUUGAGGUCAGCUACUGCCAUGGCUCAUGUUUCUCCAGGGCACAGUCAUGCCUGUGCAACUGUGCUUAGGAGCAGGGACCGUGGUGAAACCAGCCAAUGGCCACUCAGCUCUGAGACCAGCCACUUCACCAGCAGAUUCGAUGCCGCUGCUCUUCCUCAUGGCGGCUCCCUUCUCCUUACAAACUAUUGGAAGUGCUUCCACUGUGGGGGCCCUGGGUAUGCAAAGAUGGAUCAGGCUGGUAGAGGCUGGGUGGGGAGGAUGGGCAGGGAAGGACGGCUGAGGCCAACAGAGAGAGUGACAGGAGGGAGCAUCAAUCACCCGGACUUCCCAGAAGCCUCCAGGAAGACAUCAGGGUCCAGUUGAGUCAUGAGACUGAGAAGGAUGGCCUGGCUCACAGGCGAGUAGCAACUCAGGUGGGGUAAAUGUGGGCAGGUGCAAAGGUGACGGAGGCAUGUCCUGGCUGACCCUUGGGCUCCAGGGUCUGGCCGCCAGGGUUCAAAUCCCUGCUCUGCCACUUUCUAGAUGUGCACUUGGACACUGGAUUUCUCUCUAUGCCUCAGUGUCCCAUUCGUAACUGGGGAUGACAGCAGCACUGUCACACAGGGCUGCUGAGAAGUGGUGAGCAAGAGGAAUGUGUGUGCAGCGUUUUAAGCAGCGCCUGCGUGCUGAAAGUGCCGUGCAAAUGUUAGUUAAGGUUACUGCCGUGUGACUCAUCAGACAGUGCUCUCACUCUUCAGGCGUUUUUACCUCCUGCUCUCCGCAGUGGAGAGCAGCUUGAGGAAGGAACAGCGUGAAUGCAAAUCUUGACAGGCAAACAGGUUUCCAGUCCCACCACUGACGACCUUCUCACUGGCAUUGAAAGAGUGUUUUCGGCUCCCUGCCUAGAUGCUGGCAGUUUCUGGGUGACAAGCAGCUGUCACAUGCUUUUAACAAGCCUUGGGUUUCAGCGGGUCAAGGUACUGACCGGACUAGGUCUGGGAUAAUUGGGCCACCAAGGUGGGUACCUGUAAUCCCAGCUACUCGGGAGGCUGAGGCAGGAGAAUCGCUUGAACCCGGUAGGCGGAAGUUGCAGUGAGCCGAGAUAGUGCCAUUGCACUCCACCCUGGGCAACAGAGCGAGACUCUGCCUCAAAAAGAAAAAAAAUGCAGGGCCACCAAGAGGGACACAGAUAGAACCUUCUCCAACUUUGAGUCCAGUGACUGCGGGCACAGGUAUCUGUGGUGGUUCCUCAGCCCCGGGCUCCCUGUCAGCCCCGGGAACCUCUAGCAUCUCAGGCCCCAGGAUGUCCCAAACCAGAAACAGGUGAUGUUGCCACCAGGUAUUUCAUCACCUGGAGCAGGGAAUGCCAGGGGCUGGGUACCUCCCCACAUCCCCUGGAGGAGUGGGCAGGCCCCAGGGCUGUUGGAGGAACCCUCCCUGCGCCCACCUCUGGCUGUUGAGCCUACAAACAGCUGUUGCCUCCCUUCAUCCCAGAUGGACCCUGGCACCACAUAAACCCACAGAUUUCUGCUAAUUAAAGUGAGGUUUUGACACUUGAGGCAUUUUGCUGAGAUGGGAGUUCACGCUCUACCAGAGAACUGAAGCGUCGGGUUCUUCCCAAGCUUGGCCCCAGACAGCUGGCCAUUAUGAAGGCAGACAUGCUAACGCUUUUGUUUAUUUAUUGGAUGCAUCUGUACUCUUCCCCGAAUUUCAGAGAGGGUUGGAAUCAGCCUUAAGAACAAGUUUGUUGGCAGGGCGCGGUGGCUCACUCCUGUAAUCCCAGCACUUUGGGAGGCUGAGGUGGGUGGAUCACAAGGUCAAGAGAUCAAGAGCAUCCUGGCUAACAUGGUGAAACCCUGUCUCUACUAAAAAUACAAAAAAUUAGCCAGGUGUGGUGGCACGUGCCUGUAGUUCCAGCUACUCGGGAGGCUGAGGCAGGAGAAUUGCUUGAACCUGGGACACAGAGGUUGCAGUGAGCCAAGAUUGUACCACUACCCUCCAGCCUGGGCGACCAAGCAAGACUCUGUCUCACAAAAAAACAAACAAACACCGAUUUAUCUUGAUAUGGGGGAAAAAAAACCCACACAGCUUUUGGGGUCAGAAAGGACCGGGUGUGAAUCCUUUAUAUCACUGUCUACCUGUGAGUCCUUGGACAAAUCACUUGCCCUCUCUGAGCCUGUCUCCUCAUCUGCACGAUGGGAGCAUGCACUCCACCAUUGUUGGGCCCUAGUGACGGUACAAGGAGAUCGUGAGAUAAAACACCGUCACUGCUUCAUAGAUGUUUUCAAAAUAGGCAUGUUUCAAACGCGGGCCAGGCGCGGUGGCUCACGUCUAUGAUCCCAGCACUUUGGAAGGCUGAGAUGGGUGGACCACUUGAGGUCAGAAGUUCAAGACCAGUCUGGCCAACAUGGUGAAACCCUGUCUCUAGUAAAAAUACAAAAAUUAGCUGGGCAUGGUGGCAGGUGCCUGUAAUCCCAGCUACCUGGGUGGCUGAGGCAGGAGAAUCACUUGAACCUGGGAAGCGGAGGUUGAAGUGAGCCAAGAUUGUAUCACUGCACUCCAGCCUGGGUAACAGAAUGAGAUUCUGUCUCAAACAAAUAAAUACAUAAAAAUAAAAUAAAAUGGAUCAUGGAAUAAGAACAGAAAAGUGAAGUAAAGGAAGGAGGAGGCAGGGGAUGCCUUCUGUUGCACGGGGGACAAGGGGGCUGUGCCCCAGGCCUGCUCCUCUCCACCGGAUGUCCUGUGGGAACUGCCCAGGUCCUGCCACCUCCUUCCGUUGGACGGAGAUGACCUGUUCAGGUCUGGCCUGAGACACAGAAAUCAAGAGCCAGGGAGACUGAGGCACAGAGCCUGUCACCCAGAAAGAAACUUUCUCCUGCACGGGGGUGGGCGAGGUAGGCAGAAUCAAGCCAGAGGCACAGAGCGGAGACCCCGAAGCCUCCAGCCCAGCAGCUCUGACCUGAGCCGCUCUGAGUCUUUCCCAAGUCCUCCAUUAUCCCGAUAAUAAGCCCCCAACUUGGUGUACAUGUGAGUCUUGGAAUCAAGGGUAUCAACACAUAGGGAAUGUGUGACAUGGAACAGACCUGCCGGGGAGAUGGCCAAGCCUGGCUCCAUGAACGGGAGGCAGGAGCAGGUCGCUGGUCCUGGAGAGAAGAAAGAUCCUGGCGGCUUCUCAGGAGGGGCAGAGCUCUUCCCAACCUGGAGGUAAGACUGGCCUCAAUUGGAGCUUCCUGCGGGGGUCCUGUGGCAAAGGCCGGGGCUGCCUUAUGCUGUGUCUGGACGUGAGUGUCCCAUCCCCAAAAGCUGAGCGUGGGAUGUAGACGCGUUAAGAUGUGCCUGGGAAAGCUGCUGUUUCCAAAGGCCAGAUGGCCACAGCCAGGCCACGGGCACAGCAGGGGGCAGCAAACCCACUGCCCUGGGGAAUGGCGGCGAUAGAGUGAGGGUGCAGCUGCUGAGGCACUGGUGGGAUGAAGCGGCCACUGCCCCCCUCUUUCUCUCAUUUCCCCACAUGGCAAGCCCCAUGGGGGAUCCAGAAGCGUCCACCAGCAGAGCUGAUGCAGGUGCGGUGGUGGCUCUCAGCAGCCCCACUGCUGUGGCUGGCAUGUCCCCACCUCUCCCCUGUAGCUGACGGAGGGGCAGUGGUGGCGUCCCUGCUGCUGCCCUUGAUGCUCAGCUGCUUGCAGCACAGCGGCCCCAAUGUCCUCUUAAAAUGAGGCUGGUGAGUUCUCUCCUCUGCAUGAUGCCUAGAGCCACCUCACUCAGAGUGAGAGCCAAUGGCCUGCAGUGACCCUCCGUGACCUACUCACUGCCUCCUUUUGCCCUUGACCUCGCCGGCUUGCAGCCCCCACAACUCAAGGGCCUUGACUCUGCCUGAGGAGCUCUCCCUCCAGGGGCCUGCAGGCCUUCCCUUCUGCAGGGGCCUCCCUGACUACCCUGGGGUAGGAUACCCCACCCUAGGUGCUCCCCACCCACCUUGUCUGCCUUUACCUCCUUCUGAAGCUGUGAGCACUGAACCUGUCUACUUCCUUCAUGCUUCACCAUCUUUCUCUCCUUGCAGGAAGACAAGCUCCCCGGGGACAGGGACCCUUACUUGUUUGUUCAUUGAUGUGUCCCAGGAGUCUGCCUCAGAGUCCCUGCUCAGCAAAACUGCCAGGGCAGGAUAGAUGAUGACCUAUCCCUGCACUAGUUGAAGCCGGGAUACAUGGCACACCUUUUCAAAAACCUCCUUUGGGCCAGGCGUGGUGGCUCAUACCUGUAAUCCAGCACUUUGGGAGGCUGAUGCAGGCAGAUUGCCUGAGGUCAGGAGUUCGAGACCAGCCUGGCCAACAUGGUGAAACCCCAUCUCAAUUAAAAACACAAAUAUUAGCUGUGCAUGGUGGCGGGCGUCUGUAAUCCCAGCUACUCUGGAGGCUGAGGCAGAAUUGUUUGAACCCGGAGACGGAGGCUGCAGUGAGCUGAGAUGGUGCCACUGCACUCCAGCCUGGGCGACAGAGCAAGACUGGAUCUCAAAAUAAAAAAAAACAAAACUCUCCUUUGAACAAAUCAUAAUUAUUCAUUGCCCCAAGUUAAAAAAACCUAUUAAUUAUAUGUUAAUAUAUAAUAAACAUGUAUUUGCAUUUGUAUAUAAUAAACAUGUAUUUGUAUGUAAUAUGUAAUCAUAACUUAAGAAUUACUUGAAGAAAAUCUGGGUGGAAACCUCAUAUUAAGAGGCCCAUUUGCCUCACCCUUCCUCCCAGGGACAAUGAUGACAGCCUUUUGGUGCAGCUCCUCCCAGUGUUCCUUUUAGGGGCGUGUGACCCUGAGUGUGACAGGGUGAGGAAUCUGCAGGAGAGAUGGUGGCCUGCAUGGGGUUAUCAUGGGAAGGGGCAGGUUGGCACCUACACGUGAUCAUGCCACUCUCCUGCCUGAGCACUCUGUGGCUCCCACUGCUCUUAGGCUGAGACUCCAGCUCCUUCUGCCUCCAGCUGCCUCCUCACCCUGCCCUGGGCCAUUCCCCUGCCUUGCUCUCUGGCGUGCAGGCCGACAGCUUCCUUGCUGGUCCCUGGAUGCCCUGAGAUCUUCUCCUCUUAUUCCCAGUGCCCAGGAUACUUGUUACCCUCUACCUCCUCCUGGCUGGGUCUAUCUGGCUAAAUGAGGAUGGCUCUUUCUAGAUGCCCUGGCCAAGUGAAGGCUGGAUCCUUCAUUCCUCUCUGUAACCCACGUUGCUUCAGAGCGCACGUCACAGCUGCCAUCAUAGAUCAAAAUACCUGGCCACCCGCCUGUGGUAUUUUCCUGCCUCUGGCAUGUAUGCCCUGUGUGUGCAGGCACCGUCUGGUAAACCUUGUAUACCCAGUGCCUGGCACACAGCAUGUGACCCGUACCUAUGUGCAUAUAAAGAAAAAAAUGGCAAUAACUAGAGGACAUGGGGACAUUGGAUUCGUGUGUUUCUUUUUCUUUUUCUUUCUUUCUUCCCUCCCCUCCCCUCUCCUCCCCCUCCCUCCCUCCUUCCCUUCCUUCCUUCCUCCCUCCCUCCCUCUCUCUCUCUUUCUUUCCAGGGUCUCACUCUGUUGCCUAGGCUGGAGUGCACUGGAAGAACCUCGGUUCAUUUAAGCCUCAACCUCCUGGGCUAAGGCAAUCCUCCUGCCUCGGCCUCCUGUGUAGCUGGGACCACAUGCACAUGCCGCCACACCUGACUCAUUAAAAAAUUUUUUUUGUAGACACGCGGUUUCACUUUGUUGCCCAGUCUGGUCUCGAACUCCUGGGCUCAAGCAGUCUGCCCCCCGUCGGCCUCCCAAAGUACUGUACUGAGACUACAGGUGCGAGCCACCAUGUGCAGCCAUUUAUCUUUUUAAAGUAUUUGUUAUUUAUUUUAAAAUUUUUCAUGCCCCUUGCUGCUGAGUUGUAUAUAUGUAUCUGUGUUUAUGGACACAUUUCUUCUAAAACAUAUUGAAGUAUAAGACAUAUCUAGAACAGUGCACCAAUUCUAAGUGUGCAGCUGGGUGAAUCAUCACCAGUUACAGACCCAUGUAUCCGGCACCCAGAUCUGGAUACGAUGUUAUCCAGAUCAAAAGCUACCUCUGAGCGUGGGGGCUCAUGCCUGCAGUCCUAUUAAUAUGGGAGGCUGAUGAAGUGGGAUGGCUUGAGCCCAAGAGUUCGAGACGAGCCUGGGUAAUAAAGUGAGACCCUUAUCUCUACAAAAAAAUACCCCAAAAACUAGCCAGGUGUGGUGGCACACACCUGUGGUCCCAGUUACUUGGGAGGCUGAGGUGGGAGGAUCGUUUGAGCCUGGGAGGUGGAGCCUGCCGUGAGCUAAGAUCACGCUACUGCACUCCAGCCUGGGCGACAGAGUAAGACCUUGUCUCCAAAAUCAAAACCAACACCAAAACCAAACCGAACCAACAAAACCAAAACACCUCCUCCACGCCCCUGUAGUCUCUGCUCCUCCCUGCAAUCAUCACGGCCUCUGUGCUACAAAUGCAAUAAAUGCUAGCAGGAUUAGAAACCACUUGGUAGUAUCUGCUAAACUGCCCCUGAGCCCCACCGCGAUCUGGCAAUCCCACUGAGGUGUAGAUAGGGUGGAAAUGCACAGAGCUGCUCACUGAAGGUGCAGAGACACCCACUGGGGUGCUCACGACCGUUUCAGCCACCCGUACGCCCAUCACAGCAGGUGGAUAAGUGCACUUGGGAUAGCCACACAAUACUUCACAGUGACAAGAACACAAGUGCAGCAGACACAGGCAGCAGCGACGAUGACUCUCUCAGUGUUGAGUGGAAAACAGCAGACAGAAAAGUUGACCUAUUCCAGGAUGACAUUUAUAUGCGAGGCCACUACAGGCAAAACAACCCAACGGGGCUAUGUGUGGGCGGAUGUUGACUUUGCUGCUUUUCUCUUUCCUUGGCUUCCCUUCGUUUCUCCCUCUCUUCUCUCCCUCCCUCUUUUUCUUCCUUCCAAAUUUGGGAUCUCUAGCCCUCUCUGCAAAGACACACGCACGCACGCACGCACAGCAUCUUCUCUACAUCAAGAAAUAAUACCCUUUAAAAUAAUGACCACCAUGAAUGCAUGAAGGCUUGCAGGUGUUUUUUGUGCUUAUGCUCUGGAAAGUCCAUGACCUUUUUCAGAAAUCAGCAUGAGUUCAGGGUCAAUGUCAGGAACAGGGGCUCUGAGGCAUUUGCUUAGCUGGAAUGGGGGCGGUGCUGGUGGCCAUGGUCACGUGACAGGCGGUGCCUGCUGCACUGGUCAGGUGGGUGUGCUUAGGGGAGAGGGGUGUUCAGCAAAAGGAAAGGGUGAGGAUUGAUCAUUUAACCUGUGUGACUGUGUCUUUUUAAGGCCGCAGACAGUCUGUUAUCUGAGUAGUUAAUGGCUAAUGGAGCCAAAUCUCUGCCACCAGUGUGAAUAAACAGCUGGGCGCCAGAGCCCUUGGCUCAGGUUCAGAUCUGGGCUCUAUCAGGCACUGGUGAUUCAUUGGGGACAACUGAUUUGUCUUUUUUUUUUUUUUUUUUGAGACAAAGUCUCGAUCUGUCAACCAGGCUGGAGUGCAGUGGCACAAUCUCAGCUCGCUGCAACCUCUGCCUCCCGAGUUCAAGAGAUUCUCCUAUCUCAGCCUCCCGAGUAGCUGGGAUUACAGGUGCACCUCACCACACCUGGCUAAUUUUGUAUUUUUAGUAGAGACAGGGUUUCACCAUGUUGGCCAGGCUGGUCUCGAACUCCUGAACUCAGGUGAUCCACCUGCUUCGGCCUCCCAAAUUGGGAUUACAGGUGUGAGCCACCAUACCCAACAACUUAUUUACUUCUUGGGGCCUCUGGUUCCUCAUCUGUAAAUAAGUUUGAAAACUGUACUGACCCACAUAUGGUUGCGGUAAGCAUCGAGUGAGUUAUUAUUUGUAAACCUCUUGGUUAAGUGCCUGCAUGGAACACGGUAAACAUUUAACAAUGUUUUUCUACUUUUGCUCAGUUGUUUUAAAACAUCCCACAUCAUAUUAGUCAGCUUUGGCUGUAAUAACACUGCAUAACAAACAGUCCCUCCCUCUCCGUGGCUUCUGAAGACAAGUGCUGUGCUUGAUUUGGGGCUGUGGUUGCAUUUGGGCAUGUUCCACCUGUCUCUGUCCCCUCUUUCCAAAACCCAGGAGGAGGGAGCAGUGUCAGCUCAGAUGUCUCUUCUGAUGGUGGAGGGCAGGAGAGCCAGAGGGGGAGCGGAACCCUAGAACCCGGGGAUGCCUCAAAGAGCCACAUCCCAGAGCUCCAAGCAGCUCUUACAAGCAAGCCUUGAGGCAAGGAAGCUCUGGACCAGACACUCCCUGCAGGGACUGCGGCAGGGCCGGGGGCAGGGAAAGAAGAUUGUGAAAAGAAAAUGGAUUUCCACCCAGUCCGUGUAAUCCUGGUGAGGCAGCCUCGAGGGAGAUGUGAGAAUUUCACCUCAUCCGGUGAAAUUCAUGGCAGGGUGAUUAAUGCCUGCAGCAUCGGAGACUGACCUCCAGCACCCGGCCAACACAGUCAAGUAUUGUUUGUGUUCACCUUUGCUCAGUCGAAGGUACAAACAAGAAUUAUGAUGGCAGUCGUGACAGCAUAACACAGUAUGAUCCACUGGGGUUUUUAUGGCAUGUGAAGUCAGAAUGACCUCAGCUCGGUGCGCCUGUAGCUUCCCGGGGCCGCUCGUCCUCUGUAUGAUGCUGUAACCAGGUGAGCCUUCCUGUUGAACUCAGGGCUUGGCCGUAUGAUCUGUUCAGGCCAGUGGAACAUACUGGGACAAGCAGAGCUUUAAAUGUGUUCUGGUGGUUUGCUUUACACCCACCGCACCCCACCCCCAGCCUCGUCCUCUUUCAGAAUCUCAGGGACAGGGCAUCUUGUGGAGGGAGAGACUUGGCUGCAAUGCAGCCCCAGGGAGGCCUCAGCUGCCCCCACGGUGGGCUCCAGAGUCUCAAGGGGCUCCAGUCUCAAGGCCCUCCAGAGGUGGCCCGAGCUGAGGCAGGAGGCCAGGCCUUUAUAGCCAUGCAUUGACCAGUUGCCACAUGCAGGCCCCUCCCGGGGAGGGGACCACCUUGGGCAUGGCACCUCCCUUCAGCCAACGUCAAUUCCUGGAGCAAGAUGCCACUGUGAGCCAUCAGUGCAUGACACCUCAGCAGCAGAGGAGGAGAUGCCUUGCUCCAGCAGGGAGCUGGGGGUGCCCCCCC